rnacentral:tRNA from 1 species
UGCCGGAGUGGCGAAACUGGCAGACGCAGCAGACUCAAAAUCUGCCGGCUCUAAGGAGCCGUGUGGGUUCAACUCCCUCCUCCGGCAU